GUCUAUAGCCAUGCCACCCUGAACAUGCUUGAUCGCUUCUGAUCUCGGAAGCUAAGCAAGGUCAGGCCUGGUUAGUACUUGGAUGGGAGACCGCCUAGGAAGACCAGGUGCUGUAGACG
rnacentral:rRNA from 1 species